rnacentral:rRNA from 1 species
AUCGAACGCUGGCGGCAGGCCUAACACAUGCAAGUCGAACGAGUGGCGGACGGGUGAGUAAUGUCUGGGAAACUGCCUGAUGGAGGGGGCUAACUACUGGAAACGGUAGCUAAUACCGCAUACCAUCGGAUGUGCCCAGAUUGGAUUAGCUAGUGGGUGGGGUAAAGGCUCACCUAGGAGACGAUCCCUAGCUGGUCUGAGAGGAUGACCAGCCACACUGGAACUGAGAAACGGUCCAGACUCCUACGGGAGGCAGCAGUGGUGAAUCUUGCACAAUGGGCGCAAGCCUGAUGCAGCCAAGCCGCGUGUAUGAAGAAGGCCUUCGGGUUGUAAAGUACUUUCAGCGGAGAAGCGUUACCCGCAGAGGAAGCACCGGCUAACUCCGUGCCAGCAGCCGCGGUAAUUC